GGGCAGCUAGCUCAGGGGUAGAGCAUCUGACUUUUAAUCAGAUGGUCGCGGGUUCGAAUCCCGCGCUGCUCA
rnacentral:tRNA from 1 species